AUUGAACGCUAGCGGGAUGCCUUACACAUGCAAGUCGAACGGAGUGGCGAACGGGUGAGUAAUGUAUCGGAACGUGCCCAGUCGCGGGGGAUAACUACGCGAAAGCGUAGCUAAUACCGCAUACUAUUGGAGCGGCCGAUAUCGGAUUAGCUAGUUGGUGGGGUGACGGCUCACCCAGGCGACGAUCCGUAGCUGGUUUGAGAGGACGAACAGCCAUACGUGGAGUGAGACACGGCCCAGACCCCUACGGGAGUCAUCAGGGGGGAAUUUGUGACAAUGGGGCAAACCCUGAUCCAGCCAUCCCGCGUGUGCGAUGAAGGCCUUCGGGUUGUAAAGCACUUUUGGCAGGAAAGCGGUACCUGCAGAAUAAGCACCGGCUAACUACGUGCCAGCCGCCGCGGUAAUUC
rnacentral:rRNA from 1 species